GAUGAACGCUGGCGGCGUGCCUAAUACAUGCAAGUCGAGCGAACGGACGAGAAUUUUGCUGCUCUGAUGUUAGCGGCGGAGGGGAGAGUAACACGUGGAUAACCUACCUAUAAGACUGGGAUAACUACGGGAAACCGGAUCUAACACCGGAUAAUAUUUUGAACCGUAUGGUUCAAAAGUGAAAGACGGUCUUGCUGUCACUUAUAGAUGGAUCCGCGCUGCAUUAGGUAGUUGGUAAGGUAACGGCUUACCAAGGCAACGAUGCAUAGCCGAACUGAGAGGCGGAUCGGCCGCCCGGGAGGUGAGACGGGCACCAGACUACUACGGGAGGCACCAGUAGGGAAUCUUGCGCAAUAGGCGCAAGCAUGACGGAGCGACGGCGCGUGAGUGGUGGAGUUCUUCGGAUCGUAAAACUCUGUUUAUAGGGAAGAACAUAUGUGUAAGUAACUGAGGAGAGCUUGACGGUAACUGGUCAGAAAGCCACGGCUAACUACGUG
rnacentral:rRNA from 1 species